GAUGAACGCUAGCUACAGGCUUAACACAUGCAAGUCGAGGGACCGGCGCCCGGGUGAGUAACACGUAUCCAACCUGCCCUUUACUCGGGGAUAGCCUUUCGCAAGAAAGAUUAAUACCCGAUAUAAAGGAUGGGGAUGCGUUCCAUUAGGUUGUUGGUGAGGUAACGGCCCACCAAGCCUUCGAUGGAUAGGGGUUCUGAGAGGAAGGUCCCCCACAUGUGAAAUGAGACACGGGCCAAACUCCUACGGGAGGAAGAAGGGAGGAAUAUUGGGGAAUGGGCGGUAGCAUGAACCAGCCAAGUAGCGUGAAGGAGGAAGGCUUAUGGGUCGUAAACUGCUUUUAUAUAAGAAUAUGUAUUAGAUGAAUAAGGAGCGGCUAACUCCGUGCCAGCCGCCGCGGUAAUUC
rnacentral:rRNA from 1 species